UACGAAGGGUGCAAGCGUUACUCGGAAUUACUGAGCGUAAAGGGCGCGUAGGCGGCUUCUCAAGCGUGUGGUGAAAGUCCGGGGCUCAACCCCGGAUCGGCCGUGCGGACUGGGGAGCUCGAGUUCUGUAGAGGCGGGUGGAAUUCCGGGUGUAGCGGUGGAAUGCGUAGAGAUCCGGAAGAACACCGGUGGCGAAGGCGGCCCGCUGGGCAGAGACUGACGCUGAUGCGCGACAGCGUGGGGAGCAAACAGG
rnacentral:rRNA from 1 species